CCUACGGGAGGCAGCAGUGGGGAAUAUUGCACAAUGGGCGAAAGCCUGAUGCAGCGACGCCGCGUGAGGGAUGACGGCCUUCGGGUUGUAAACCUCUUUCAGCAGGGAAAGAAGCGAAAGUGACGGUACCUGCAGAAGAAGCGCCGGCUAACUACGUGCCAGCAGCCGCGGUAAUACGUAGGGCGCAAGCGUUGUCCGGAAUUAUUGGGCGUAAAGAGCUCGUAGGCGGCUUGUUGCGUCGGUUGUGAAAGCCCGGGGCUUAACCCCGGGUCUGCAGUCGAUACGGGCAGGCUAGAGUGUGGUAGGGGAGAUCGGAAUUCCUGGUGUAGCGGUGAAAUGCGCAGAUAUCAGGAGGAACACCGGUGGCGAAGGCGGAUCUCUGGGCCAUUACUGACGCUGAGGAGCGAAAGCGUGGGGAGCGAACAGGAUUAGAUACCCUGGUAGUCCACGCCGUAAACGUUGGGAACUAGGUGUUGGCGACAUUCCACGUCGUCGGUGCCGCAGCUAACGCAUUAAGUUCCCGCCUGGGGAGUACGGCCGCAAAGGCUAAAAACUCCAAAAGUAGUAAGUUAGGACCGUUCGUUAGAGUUACGUUCGAACCGGACGGACCGACCACGGGAGGGUUAAGGAGG
rnacentral:rRNA from 1 species